rfam:Gossypium hirsutum cultivar TM-1 unplaced genomic scaffold scaffold6413.1, whole genome shotgun sequence
GGGUGCGAUCAUAGCAGCACUAAUGAACCGGAUCCCAUCAGAACUCCAGAGUCAAGCGUGCUUGGGCGAGAGUAGUACUAGGAUGGGUGACCUGCUUGGAGGUUCUCGUGUGGCACCCC